rnacentral:tRNA from 1 species
UCCGCGGUGGCGCAACGGUAGCGCGGUCCCCUGUUAAGGGAAAGGUUACUGGUUCGAAUCCAGUCCGCGGAG